AGUGUGUGUGGAACUCUG
rnacentral:miRNA from 1 species